NNNNNNNNNNNNNNNNNNNNNNNNNNNNNNNNNNNNNNNNNNNNNNNNNNUGUCCCGGUGUCCCGGUGCCGCCCUCACGCCCGCCGGGGCCCGAAUCCCAUCUCCAGCAGCGCCUCCAGGGCCCGCCCGGGCCCGGCCCCGCCGCCCGCCGCCAUCGGGGCGGCGCCGCGACCGCGGCACGAGGGGACGGCGGCCGGGGAGGGACGGGACGGGACAGAGCGAUUGGUACGGAACGGAACGGAACGGGACGGGACGGAACGGGACGGGACGGGACGGGACGGGACGGAACGGGACGGAACGGGACGGAACGGAACGGGACGGAACGGGACGGAACGGAACGGGACGGAACGGAACGGGGAGAGCGAGCGGGACGGAACGGAACGGAACGGAACGGGACGGGACGGGACGGGACGGGAUGGGAAUGGAACGGAACGGGAUGGGAGAGAGCGACCGGAACGGAACGGAACGGAACGGGAACGGGAACGGGAACGGGAACGGGAACGGGACGGGACGGGACGGGACGGGAUGGGAACGGAAAGAGCGAUCGGUAUGGACGGGAACGGGAACGGAACGGGAUGGGAACGGGAACGGGAUGGGAAUGGAACGGAACCGGAGAGAGCGAUCGGUAUGGACGGGAACGGGAACGGAACGGGAUGGGAGAGAACAGAGCGACCGGAACGGAUGGGAACGGAACGGGACGGAGCGAUCGUUAAGGAACGGAACGGAACGGAACGGAACGGGACGGGACGGGACGGGACGGGAACGGGAACGGAACGGGAGAGAACAGAGCGAUCCGUACGGAACGGGACAGAGCGAUCGGUACGGACGGCGGGAAAGUGACACUGAAAAUGCCCCAAAAUCCACCCAAAAAUGCCUCAAAAUUCACCCAAAAAUGCCCCAAAACCCAUGCAAAAAUGCCCCAAAACCACCCCAAAAUCCACCCAAAAAUACCCCAAAAUCCACCCAAAAAUGCCCCAAAACCCACCAAAAAUGCCUCAAAAUCCACCCAAAAGUGCCCCAAAACCACCCCAAAAUCCACCCAAUACCUACCCAAAAAUGCCCCAAAAUCCACCCAAAAAUGCCCCAAAAGCCACCCAAAAAUACCUCAAAACCCACCCAAAAAUGCCUCAAAACCCACCAGAAAAUGCCCCAAAAUCCACCCAAAAAUGCCCCAAAAUCGACUCAAAAAUGCCCCAAAAUAGACCCAAAAAUACCCCAAAACCCAUGCAAAAAUGCCCCAAAACCACCCCAAAAUCCACCCAAUACCCCAAAACCUACCCAAAAAUGCCCCAGAAUCCACCCAAAAAUGCCCGAAAAAUCCUCC
rnacentral:lncRNA from 1 species